ACUAAAACGUCGCCGUCUCUGAUGGGACGGUCUGGCGUUAGGGCGUCAAGGGGAAGCUGGCAAAUGCUAGAGGGGAGAAGAAGGAAGAGAAGCAAUAUCUGGAUAAACGCUUCGAUACUGGAACUCAUGAGUGCUUGUAGUAUGAGGCUGGCGGGGAUGGAGGACACGGCGGAGCUGCUGGAGAAGAAGCUAGCGUCGGAAAUUUCGAAGAUGAGCUUAAGGGAGGCACUCACUCUCGCUCGUGCUUUCAGCCAUUAUCUCAAUAAUUUGAUGGGCAUUGCUGAAGUUCAUCACAGGGUUCGUAGACAAAAGAAUGUGGCAUCCCUAUCAAAAUCUUGUGAUGAUAUUUUUAAUCAGCUUCUGCAGCGUUGUGUUUCACCAGACCAGCUUUACGAUACCAUUUGCAAGCAGAGGUUGAGAUUGUUCUUACUGCACAUCCUACACAAAUUAAUCGCGGAACCUUACAAUACAAACAUAUCAGACUUCUGUGAGCGGCUACUGACUCUGCUCAAUUUUUAGGAUGUUGAAAAUUAUGAUUAAAAGACAUGUUGAAAAUUUGUUUAGACUAAUAAUAUCAAGUUACUUGCAGCGUCUUUUAAAUUUAAGAGACUGACAUGAUCUUACUAGUGAAGACAGAGAUAUGGUGAUUGAAGAUCUGGUAUUGUUUUUCCAACCUUAUUCUCUCUUUCCAAAACCACUUUGCUGGGGCGAGGGGGACUGCAUCUUAAUGACAUUGAUAUAGUGGAUAUUCUCUAAUUUUCUUUAUGUUUUAUAUGUUACUCUUGCUUUUAUAGGUGCGAGAGAUAACUUCUGUAUGGCAAACUGAUGAGCUUAAUUAGGCACCAUAAACCCACACCAGGUGAUGAAGCUAGGGCAGGUUUGAACAUUGUGGAGCAUUCCCUUUGGAAAGCUGUACCUCAUUAUUUACGUCGUGUCAGCGAUGCUUUGAAGAAGCACACUGGAAAACCACUUCCAUUGAAAUGCACACCAAUCAGGUAUGGGUCUUCAGAGGGGGGGGG